UGGGUGACCUGCCCUCAGCUCUGGGAUAAGCCCGGGAAACUGGGUCUAAUACCGGAUAUGACUCCUCAUCGCAUGGGUGGGGGGUGGAAAGCUUUUUGUGGUUUUGGAUGGACUCGCGGCCUAUCAGCUUGUUGGUGGGGUAACGGCUCACCAAGGCAACGACGGGUAGCUGGUCUGAGAGGAUGGCCAGCCACAUUGGGACUGAGACACGGCCCAGACUCCUACGGGAGCAG
rnacentral:rRNA from 1 species